rnacentral:rRNA from 1 species
AUAUUUCGCAAUUGGCGAAAGCCUGAUGCAGCGACGCCGCGUGGGGGAUGAAGGCNUUNNGGUUGNANACCCCUUUCAGCCGGNNNNNAGCGAGAGUGANGGUACCUGCAGAAGAAGCGCCGGCUAACUACGUUCCAGCAGCCGCGGUAAUACGUACGGGGCAAGCGUUGUCCGGAAUUAUUGGGCGGAAAGAUACAGUAGGCGGUUAGUUGAGUCUGCUGGGAAAACCCGAGGCUCAACCUCGGGCCUGCAGUGGGUACGGGCUGACUAGAGUGCGGUAGGAGAGACUGGAAUUCCUGGUUUAGCGGUGGAAUGCGCAGAUAUCAGGAGGAACACCGAUGGCGAAGGCAGGUCUCUGGGCUGCAACUGACGCUGAGGCACGAAAGCGUGGGGAGCGAACAG